rnacentral:rRNA from 1 species
AACGAACGCUGGCGGCAUGCCUAACACAUGCAAGUCGAACGAGACCUUCGGGUCUAGUGGCGCACGGGUGCGUAACGCGUGGGAACCUGCCUUUAGGUUCGGAAUAACUCAGAGAAAUUUGAGCUAAUACCGGAUAAUGUCUUCGGACCAAAGAUUUAUCGCCUUUAGAUGGGCCCGCGUUGGAUUAGCUAGUUGGUGGGGUAAAGCCUACCAAGGCGACGAUCCAUAGCUGGUCUGAGAGGAUGAUCAGCCACACUGGGACUGAGACACGGCCCAGACUCCUACGGAGGCAGCAGUGGGGAAUAUUGGACAAUGGCGAAAGACCUGAUCCAGCAAUNCCGCGUGAGUGAUGAAGGCCUUAGGGUUGUAAAGCUCUUUUACCCGAGGAAUGUAUAAUGACAGUAUCGGA